AUUGAACGCUGGCGGCAUGCUUUACACAUGCAAGUCGAACGGUAACAGGUUAAGCUGACGAGUGGCGAACGGGUGAGUAAUGCAUCGGAACGCGCCCGAUCGUGGGGGAUAACGCAGCGAAAGCUGCGCUAAUACCGCAUACGAUCUGAGGAUGAAAGCGGGGGACCGUAAGGCCUCGCGCGAUCGGAGCGGCCGAUGUCAGAUUAGGUAGUUGGUGGGGCAAAGGCUCACCAAGCCGACGAUCUGUAGCGGGUCUGAGAGGACGACCAGCCACACUGGGACUGAGACACGGCCCAGACUCCUACGGGAGGCAGCAGUGGGGAAUUUUGGACAAUGGGCGAAAGCCUGAUCCAGCAAUGCCGCGUGCAGGAAGAAGGCCUUCGGGUUGUAAACUGCUUUUGUACGGAGCGAAAAGGCUCUCUCUAAUACAGGGGGCUCAUGACGGUACCGUAAGAAUAAGCACCGGCUAACUACGUGCCAGCCGCCGCCGUAA
rnacentral:rRNA from 1 species